CAGCCGCCACGGUAAUACAUAGGGUGCGAGCGUUAAUCGGAAUUACUGGGCGUAAAGCGUGCGCAGGCGGUUUUGUAAGACAGGCGUGAAAUCCCCGGGCUCAACCUGGGAAUGGCGCUUGUGACUGCAAAGCUAGAGUGCGGCAGAGGGGGAUGGAAUUCCGCGUGUAGCAGUGAAAUGCGUAGAUAUGCGGAGGAACACCGAUGGCGAAGGCAAUCCCCUGGGCCUGCACUGACGCUCAUGCACGAAAGCGUGGGGAGCAAACAGGAUUAGAUACCCGAGUAGUCCCUGUCUCUUAUAC
rnacentral:rRNA from 1 species